rnacentral:rRNA from 1 species
GAUGAACGCUGGCGGCGUGCUUAACACAUGCAAGUCGAACGAAGCACCUUGAUUUGAUUCUUCGGAUGAAGAUCUUGGUGACUGAGUGGCGGACGGGUGAGUAACGCGUGGGUAACCUGCCUCAUACAGGGGGAUAACAGUUAGAAAUGACUGCUAAUACCGCAUAAGACCACAGCACCGCAUGGUGCAGGGGUAAAAACUCCGGUGGUAUGAGAUGGACCCGCGUCUGAUUAGGUAGUUGGUGGGGUAACGGCCUACCAAGCCGACGAUCGGUAGCCGACCUGAGAGGGUGACCGGCCACAUUGGGACUGAGACACGGCCCAAACUCCUACGGGAGGCAGCAGUGGGGAAUAUUGCACAAUGGGGGAAACCCUGAUGCAGCGACGCCGCGUGAGCGAUGAAGUAUUUCGGUAUGUAAAGCUCUAUCAGCAGGGAAGAAAAUGACGGUACCUGACUAAGAAGCACCGGCUAAAUACGUG